AGCACCCGGAGCUGGCAGACAAGAAUGUGCCCAACCUUCAUGUCAUGAAGGCCAUGCAGUCUCUCAAGUCCCGAGGCUACGUGAAGGAACAAUUACCUUCAUCUGCCCCCAGAGAUUGUGCCUGCCAUCCUACGCCGUAGCCGUCCAGAGACUGGCAGGCCUCGGCCUAAAGGUCUGGAGGGUGAGCGACCUGCGAGACUCACAAGAGGGGAAGCUGACAGAGAUACCUACAGACGGAGUGCUGUGCCACCUGGUGCCGACAAGAAAGCCGAGGCUGGGGCUGGGUCAGCAACCGAAUUCCAGUUUAGAGGCGGAUUUGGUCGUGGACGUGGUCAGCCACCUCAGUAAAAUUGGAGAGGAUUCUUUUGCAUUGAAUAAACUUAUAGCC
rnacentral:lncRNA from 1 species